rnacentral:rRNA from 1 species
GAUGAACGCUGGCGGCGUGCCUAAUACAUGCAAGUCGAGCGAACGGACGAGAAGCUUGCUUCUCUGAUGUUAGCGGCGGACGGGUGAGUAACACGUGGAUAACCUACCUAUAAGACUGGGAUAACUUCGGGAAACCGUAGCUAAUACCGGAUAAUAUUUUGAACCGCAUGGUUCAAAAGUGAAAGACGGUCUUGCUGUCACUUAUAGAUGGAUCCGCGCUGCAUUAGCUAGUUGGUAAGGUAACGGCUUACCAAGGCAACGAUGCAUAGCCGACCUGAGAGGGUGAUAGGCCACACUGGAACUGAGACGCGGUCCAGACUCCUACGGGAGGCAGCAGUAGGGAAUCUUCCGCAAUGGGCGAAAGCCUGACGGAGCAACGCCGCGUGAGUGAUGAAGGUCUUCGGAUCGUAAAACUCUGUUAUUAGGGAAGAACAUAUGUGUAAGUAACUGUGCACAUCUUGACGGUACCUAAUCAGAAAGCCACGGCUAACUACGUG